GAAGUAGAUCCUUUAAUAAUCAGAAGUCAUGUGCUUGCUUUGAAUAUAACCAGAACUGGCUUCAGAAACAUCAGGCACCCAAAUCUUUGUAAGGUUUUACUUUGUUCAUUUAUCAAGAGUUUGACAUAUGUUGUGCAGAUUUUGAAGUCGGGGGCUACAAAGCCAGAGGUUUGUUUUCCUUAAUGCAGCAUGCCGGAGACAAAGACACAGAAUAAGAUGGAAAAAUGCAUCUUUCAAGAAGACAUUCAAGUUUAAGACAAUGAGAGAGGAUGAAACAUUAAGGUUGCCAGGAAGAUGAAAGGACCCUAAUGGAGGAGUUUUCCAUAUUCCUGCCCAGAUUUGGCACGGAUAAACAUCUAUAAACUGAACAGCCAAUAACGUCCCUUAUUAUCAGGAUAAUGUUGUCCCUUAGAUCUUUUAUUAUUUAAAUAUGACUGCACUCCUCUCCUUUGUCCCCAGAUUAGCAGCCAGCAUAUAUGUGUUUCUGAUUACCUGAGGUGUGAAUUAGUUUCCUGUUAGCAUCCCUGCAAAUUUAUGCCAUAUUGUACCUGUUUUUAUGAAUCACGUUAAGCCCAUAGCCCCCAACUGGUAACACUGGAAGUUAGACAAAGAAAUUCUGGUCUCAUAUCAUGCACUUACACCCAGUCCAGUCUGUUUUUAUCAAAGUUGUGUCAGCGUUAUAAACGACUGCUAAUCAGUUUCUGUCAUGAGAGAAAUCAUUAACACAUGCGAAUUAAGAUGUAGGAAGCUUUUGUGGCCUCAGAGGGACAAAAUUAGAGAUGAAGGAGACUGAGAACAGGUUUAAAUUGAAAUUCAUGUACGGUGCAGAAGGACCAUAGUGGAUAUGUUCGAGCUAGCUCUUGUUCCUCAGCUGACCAGAACAUCUGUUGUCCUGUCUAAGUGGACACAAGAGAAUGAAGGACACAUUACGGUGACCGAAAUGUCAUCAAAUUUACACUUUUUAUGUAGUCCAAUGUCAUGGAUCUUGAUGGUAAUGUAUGAUAUUAGAUCUCAGAUAUACAUUUGAAGCAUGAUUCUUUUUUUACAUGUAAACAUAAACACUGGGUACAGUUGCCUUUAUAAGAAAGAGGGACAUUGAAAUGAUUGCUAAAAAUGAAAUGAUUACAACAGCAACAAUAGGCAUCAAGGGGGCUGGGCCCUUUUUCACCGUAGCAACUGUUCCCCUUGGCAACUGUGGAGAGUGUCAAUUAUAUUCAGGGUCCUUCAAUACCCCCAGGUUUCUCUUGCUCACUUGCACUUUUUGGCUCCGUAGAGCACCUGGGCCGGCGGUGACUGAUCACGGAGAGAACCAGGAACUGCUGACACGGCACAGACUGGACCUGCUCCGGCUACGGGUGUCUGGAUAGGUGGAGACAGGUUCACUUCUUGUUGGUGUGGUAGGAAAGUGCUGUGAACAUGGGGUCCGGCUCUUCUUCUUACGCCUACAAAGUCAUCUACCUGGAUGUAGAUGGUAAAGUGCAGAAGGUGCUUUUUAAUCGCCACUGCAGCCCAUGUGACAUCAAAGAGUUGCUGUGUUCUUCUUCCAACAUUCCCAGAAAUACAGCCAUAAUGAUGGUGGACCCUGAAGGUGCUCUCGUGUCGAUCGAUCCCACGAUGCCCCCCAACAACCCCAAAUCUCUGUACAAAGUCAUACCACUGUCCACCGGCCAACUGGGAGAAAAGGAGGACAUGUUUCAGAAUGUGCUCUUGCAGGUAGCAGAGCAGUUCAGCAGAGCAUUCAGGAUUAAUGAACUGAAAACCGAGGUGACCAAUCGCCUGGCUAUGCUGGAGAAGAGAGUUGAAUUGGAGGGGUUGAAGGUUGUGGAGAUUGAAAAGUGCAAAAACGACUUGAAGAAGUUGAGAGAUGAGGUGACAUCCAGAGCUGGUGGAAGAGUGAAUUGUCCGUGCAAGUACAAUUUUUCAGAUGAUGGAAAGAAGUUAACUCCCAGACGUGAUGUCCCGAGCUACCCAAAGUACACACUUUCUCAGGAGACCAUUGAAGCACUGAAGAAACCAACCUUUGAUGUUUGGCACUGGGAGCACAAUGAAAUGCUGAGCUGCCUGGAGUACAUGUACCACGACUUAGGCCUUGUGAAUGAGUUUAACAUGAACCCAAUCACUUUGAAACGCUGGCUGCUGGGCAUUCAGGAAAAUUAUCGCAGUAACCCCUUUCAUAAUUUCCGUCAUUGUUUCUGCGUGAGUCAGAUGAUGUAUGGCAUGAUCCACCUCUGCAACCUCCAGGAAAUGCUUACGCUAACAGAUCUGUGCAUUUUAAUGACUGCCGCCGUAUGUCAUGACUUGGACCACCCUGGAUACAACAAUACGUACCAAAUCAAUGCUCGCACUGAGUUGGCCGUGCGCUACAACGACAUCUCGCCCCUGGAGAACCAUCACUGUGCUGUGGCCUUCCAGAUACUCUUAUUGCCUGAGUGUAACAUAUUUGCCAACGUACAACCAGAAGCCUUUAAACAGAUCCGACAGGCUAUUAUCACAUUGAUUUUGGCCACGGACAUGGCCAGGCAUGGCGAGAUUCUGGACUCCUUUAAGCAUAAAGUGGACAAUUUCGAUUUCACCAAUGAGGAGCAUGUGACUUGCAUGAAGAUGGUCCUUAUCAAGUGCUGUGACAUCUCCAAUGAGGUCAGGCCUACAGAUGUGGCAGAGCCAUGGGUAGACUGUCUGCUGGAGGAAUACUUCAUACAGAGUGAUAGAGAAAAAUCUGAGGGGCUUCCUGUGGCCCCCUUUAUGGACAGAGACAAAGUAACCAAACCCACGGCUCAGAUCGGCUUCAUUAAGUUUGUCCUUAUCCCCAUGUUUGAAACUGUCAUGCAGCUCUUCCCUCAGAUUGAAGAGAUUAUGGUACAGCCACUCAGAGACUCACGCGACCAUUACGAGGAGCUGAAGCAAAUUGAUGAUGCCAUGACAGAGGCACUGAAGAAAAAAACUGAAAAUAUGUCAUUAGGAGGGAAGAAGAAAUAAGCACAGGCGGUAGCCGAAUGCUACUGUGGGUCUCACUUUUUGGACACGUCUGCACUGGGUGAGCAGCUCCAGCAGAAGAAAGUUUAAGAGCUCAGUGAAGUUCUUCUGUCUAUGUGCUCUGAUGGGCUUCCUGAGGAGGUCACAUAUACAUGGGCCACCCAGAAAGAAACACAUUACCUGGAAAUAAGAGCCACAGCUGGACUAUCUUCUCACCAAGAGGCUAUUCACUGUGUAAUAAGCCACUUCUAACACCGUAAACAUGCCCAGGUCCUUCUCACAGUGUGUGGAGCUCAUUAUUUCCACACAGGUCCUAAUAAAAAGCAAUAAAGCAUUAGAUGAAUAAAAAUA